rnacentral:misc_RNA from 1 species
AAGUCGUAACAAGGUUUCCGUAGGUGAACCUGCGGAAGGAUCAUUACCGAGAUAGGGUCCCUCUGGGGCCCGACCUCCAACCCUUUGUCUACACUACCUUUGUUGCCUCGGCGGGUCGUCGAGCGGUCCCGUCAAACGGGCCCUCGCCAUCGGCUUUCACGAGCCCUUGCGCGCCCGCCGGUGGGAUAUCAAAAACCUUUUAUAGACCAGCCUUCUGAGUAUAUUAUUAUAAUACUUCAAAA